GAUGAACGCUGACAGAAUGCUUAACACAUGCAAGUCUACUUGAACUUCGGUUUGGGUGGCGGACGGGUGAGUAACGCGUAAAGAACUUGCCUCACAGUUAGGGACAACAUUUGGAAACGAAUGCUAAUACCUGAUAUUAUGAUUUUAGGGCAUCCUAGGAUUAUGAAAGCUAUAUGUGCUGUGAGAGAGCUUUGCGUCCCAUUAGCUAGUUGGAGAGGUAACGGCUCACCAAGGCGAUGAUGGGUAGCCGGCCUGAGAGGGUGAACGGCCACAAGGGGACUGAGACACGGCCCUUACUCCUACGGGAGGCAGCAGUGGGGAAGAUUGGACAAGGGACCAAAAGUCUGAUCCAGCAAUUCUGUGUGCACGAUGACGUUUUUCGGAAUGUAAAGUGCUUUCAGUUGGGAAGAAAAAAAUGACGGUACCAACAGAAGAAGUGACGGCUAAAUACGUG
rnacentral:rRNA from 1 species